CAAUAGCGUAUAUUAAAGUUGUUGCAGUUAAAAAGCUCGUAGUUGGAUUUCUGGUGGGAGCGAUCGGUCUGGCGCUUAGCGCGAGUACUUGCAUCGUCUCCGGCCAUCCUUGGGGAGAGUCUGUCUGGCAUUAAGUUGUCGGGCAGAGGAUCCUCAUCGUUUACUGUGAAAAAAUUAGAGUGUUCAAAGCAGGCUUAUGCCGUUGAAUAUAUUAGCAUGGAAUAAUAAGAUAGGACUUUGGUACUAUUUUGUUGGUUUGCGCACCAAAGUAAUGAUUAAUAGGGACAGUUGGGGGUAUUCGUAAUCCGUUGUCAGAGGUGAAAUUCUUGGAUUUACGGAAGACGAACUACUGCGAAAGCAUUUACCAAGGAUGUUUUCAUUAA
rnacentral:rRNA from 1 species